GUAGUCUUGGCCUUAAACGAUGUUCACUAGGUGUUGGGGGGUAACCCUCGGUGCCGCAGCUAACGCAUUAAGUGAACCGCCUGGGGACUACGGCCGCAAGGUUGAAACUCAAAGGAAUUGGCGGGGGACCGCACAAGCGGUGGAGCAUAUGGCUUAAUUCGAUGCAACGCGAAGAACCUUACCAGGGCUUGACAUGCACCUGCAAGCUGCCGAAAAGCAGUCGCUUUCGAAGGUGGUGCACAGGUGGUGCAUGGCUGUCGUCAGCUCGUGUUGUGAAAUGUUGGGUUAAG
rnacentral:rRNA from 1 species